CCUACGGGAGGCAGCAGUGGGGAAUAUUGCACAAUGGGGGAAACCCUGAUGCAGCGACGCCGCGUGAGUGAAGAAGUAUUUCGGUAUGUAAAGCUCUAUCAGCAGGGAAGAAAAUGACGGUACCUGACUAAGAAGCCCCGGCUAACUACGUGCCAGCAGCCGCGGUACUACGUAGGGGGCAAGCGUUAUCCGGAUUUACUGGGUGUAAAGGGAGCGUAGGUGGCAUGGUAAGCCAGAAGUGAAAACCCAGGGCUCAACUCUGUGGAUUGCUUUUGGAACUAUCAAGCUAGAGUGCUGGAGGGGUAAGCGGAAUGCCUAGUGUAGCGGUGAAAUGCGUAGAUAUUAGGAGGAACACCGGUGGCGAAGGCGGCUUACUGGACAGAAACUGACACUGAGGCUCGAAAGCGUGGGGAGCAAACAGGAUUAGAUACCCUUGUAGUC
rnacentral:rRNA from 1 species